GGCGAUGCCGGUGCUAUACAUGCAGUCGAGCGACUGACGAGGAGCUUGCUCCUUUGACGUUAGCGGCGGACGGGUGAGUAACACGUGGGUAACCUACCUAUAAGACUGGAAUAACUCCGGGAAACCGGGGCUAAUGCCGGAUAACAUAUCGAACCGCAUGGUUCGAUAGUGAAAGACGGUCUUGCUGUCACUUAUAGAUGGACCCGCGCCGUAUUAGCUAGUUGGUGAGGUAACGGCUCACCAAGGCAACGAUACGUAGCCGACCUGAGAGGGUGAUCGGCCACACUGGAACUGAGACACGGUCCAGACUCCUACGGGAGGCAGCAGUAGGGAAUCUUCCGCAAUGGGCGAAAGCCUGACGGAGCAACGCCGCGUGAGUGAUGAAGGUCUUCGGAUCGUAAAGCUCUGUUGUUAGGGAAGAACAAAUGUGUAAGUAACUGUGCACAUCUUGACGGUACCUAACCAGAAAGCCACGGCUAACUACGUGCCAGCAGCCGCGGUAAUACGUAGGUGGCAAGCGUUAUCCGGAAUUAUUGGGCGUAAAGCGCGCGUAGGCGGUUUUUUAAGUCUGAUGUGAAAGCCCACGGCUCAACCGUGGAGGGUCAUUGGAAACUGGAAAACUUGAGUGCAGAAGAGGAAAGUGGAAUUCCAUGUGUAGCGGUGAAAUGCGCAGAGAUAUGGAGGAACACCAGUGGCGAAGGCGGCUUUCUGGUCUGUAACUGACGCUGAUGUGCGAAAGCGUGGGGAUCAAACAGGAUUAGAUACCCUGGUAGUCCACGCCGUAAACGAUGAGUGCUAAGUGUUAGGGGGUUUCCGCCCCUUAGUGCUGCAGCUAACGCAUUAAGCACUCCGCCUGGGGAGUACGGUCGCAAGACUGAAACUCAAAGGAAUUGACGGGGACCCGCACAAGCGGUGGAGCAUGUGGUUUAAUUCGAAGCAACGCGAAGAACCUUACCAAAUCUUGACAUCUUUUGACCACUCUAGAGAUAGAGUUUUCCUCUUCGGAGGACAAAAUGACAGGUGGUGCAUGGUUGUCGUCAGCUCGUGUCCUGAGAUGUUGGGUUAAGUCCCGCAACGAGCGCAACCCUUGAGCUUAGUUGCCAUCAUUAAGUUGGGCACUCUAAGUUGACUGCCGGUGACAAACCGGAAG
rnacentral:rRNA from 1 species